CCUGACUUCAGAUGAUCUGCCUGCCUCGGCCUCCCAAAAUCCUGGGAUUACAGGCAUGAGCCACAGCACCUGGCCUCCCACCAGUUUUUCUGAUGGGAAAACUGAGGCCUGGGAAGGCACAGAUCCCUCGCUCCACAUCACGCCGCAAGUCAGUGGCAGAGCCGGGAGUGGAACCUAGACAUCCUGAUGCCCUAUUUGAGGCUCCUCCUGUCCCUCCUCCAGCUUCCCUCCUGACAGUCCUCCUUUCCCUCCUCCCUCCCCUCCACUCUGCCUCCCUCUCCUGAGGCCUGGCCAGGCCUCCCCACCUCUGUGUCUCUACCACCCUCUUCCUCUGGCCUGAAAUGCUCUCCCACUUUAGCUGCUGCAGAGUCUUCAAACCUCAAUGCAAGUCCCCACCUCCUGCAGGAAGUCUUCCAACCCAUCUUCCGAACCUAAGCAACCAGAAUGCGAGACCCCUGCACCGUCCACUUGGGAUUGUUGAGGCCAAUGCCUUCAUGAUAGAGAAUCAGUACCUGAGAGUCAAACGGAAAGACUAUUAGAAAUGUUCCGCACAGCUGCUUCCCCCAGCCAUUCUCCUGAGCUUCAUUUUUCUUUAAAAAUAUAUUAAAAAGAGCUUCACUCCAGAGAGGCUGUCAAGGAAUCUGGUAAAACAAGGGUCCCUUUCAGUUCUUCUCUUGAAAGGGGAUAUUUUUUCUGCUUUCUCUCCAAGGUUUCCCAGAGGGUCGGAUUUCCUUUUCUUUCAGAGGUAGGAGCUGAGCCACGCCUGCAGACACCUGCUCCUCAGCUUUGGAGAUAAUCGCGGGGUGAUCAGCUCUGCAAAGGGCCUCACAGCUGCUGGGCCUGAACCAAAAGGGCCUCAAGGGAGAAGCUUUGAGGGGAAUGUGGGAGGGGGAGAGCAAGGGCGUCCCCUUUUGGGGAGAGACCCAGGUGUGAAUCACUGAUCCAACAUUUACUAGGCCUCUUGCCUGGGAAAAGACUUUGAGCUGCCUCUGUGCCUCCCUGGCCAGGCUAUGGGGAGGUCUUGCACAAGGUUUGGUAGCCAAAGGGGAGAAGUUGGGCCUCAGCCCCUGCCCUCUCAGAGGCCCAGCCCAGGGACAGAAUCCACCAAUCGCAACAACCACUCAUGUCUCAAGAUUCCUCAGUCCACUUAGCCAAGAGUGUCCCUGACUCUGCCCUUCACCUGCGUUCCGGGCAGUGCUCGUGCCCUGACUUGCUGGGUGUCUUUAGGAAUGACCCUGGCCCUCCUGACACUCCAAGUUCUCAGCCCUCUAGGCAGAAAGUGGACACCACUUUCUCAAUAGCCUCUUCCACUCCUGGAAAACUACUUCAGGCUUUCUCUGAGUUCCUUGAAGCUGGGCUUCCAGCUCCCUGGUAUGAGGAGGGAGGCUGGGGAGGGCUGAGGCCAGGGAGGUGGGAGUUUCCCCAUAACUAGCAGCUUCCAGCUGUGACAAGCCCAGUCCAAGGAAACAUUUGUAGAUCCUCUCAGACCUGAUUCGUUCAUCUCAUUAUUCAUGCAUUUAUUGAGCACCUACAAUAUCCCGGGACCAUGCUGGUCUCUGGGCAUAUAGCAAUGAAAACAGCAGACAUGGAUCCUCUCUGAUGAACUCCAAGCACAUUGCCUAGUUGGGGAGACAGUAGUCAGAGUCCAUGAGCAGAUUUACAUAGUGACAACAUGUGAUGGGCACUUUAAAAGUUAUAAAGGAAGCCCUGAGACAGUCACUGGGGGGAGAGUAAUAUUCUUUAGAUGAGGGGCCGAUCCAAGCUUCUCUGAAGGGUGACCUUGGAGCUGGGACCUGAAGGAUGAGAAAGGGAACCUGCCAUGUGUCAUAUGGGGGGCCACGAGUGAUGCUGAAGGAGCGGCGGGGGCCAGAGCUGGUAAGAAGUUUUACUUUUCCCCAAGACCUAUCAUGAGCCAUGGGGAGCAAGUGAAGGGCAGUGAUUUGGUCAGGUUCACAAUUUCCUAAGCUAAUGCUGGUUUCUGUUUGCAGUUGGAUUGGAUUGGAAGGGAGAGGGACAGUGAGGAGUUCUAGAGACACAAGGGUCUCCAAAGUCGGGGGCACGCAGGCACUGCAGGAGGUGUUUAAGGGACUUAUUUAAGGAGAAAGGAAUAUUAAUUUUUUUAUUUCUAUUUCUAUUUCAUCCAAAAAAGAGAAAAGAAUUCAGCAUUACUAGUAUUUAUAGAUUGACGCUGAUGUCCAUAUUAGGUCUUUAUAUGAAAUGUCACUAGAGGAAAGAAUGGGAGCUGGACCACACAGAAAGGCCAGCCACUCUGCCCUCACUCUCGCUGUUGGCAUUUAGAAGAAUUUUUCUACUCAUUUGAGACCAGUUAUGCAGAUUCAUAGAUUUAUCAAAUGGAUACAUGACUUAGAAAGAAGCCAGACAAAGGAGGAACAAAGAAAAAAGUGAAAAAUGCUGAACCUAACUCAAAUGUUGGAUGAUCAAAAGCAUGGCGUGGCGUGGACACGUCACUCCUGAUGGUGCCACUCUGGCCAACAGAGGAAGGAAAAACGGUGACAAUCCAGUUGGAUCCCACAAGAAGGUGGCCCCCAGAUUUAUACUAUGAAUGAGAAGACAAUUUGAAAUAAGAAUUUAUAUCCACUAUUAUUACUAAUGAACCUAGCUAUACUGUAUAUUUUUGCUUUGUUAAUAAAGGUAAUAGUGGUAAAAAAGAAAUCAUCCAUAGUAAUUAAGGAAUUUUAAAA
rnacentral:lncRNA from 10 species